rnacentral:misc_RNA from 1 species
UUAAAAAAAUAAAAAAUAAAAAAGAACAGAGAUGAGUGUUUUUGCUCACAUUUGGACCCAAAAAGGAUCACAGGAAAGAAAAAGAAAUUAGCAAAGGAAAAAACCAAAAAAACAUCCAAUUCUAAAAAAAUAAAAAGAAGGUCCAUUUUCAGAUAUAUAUAUAUAUGAACAGGUAUGAUACAUUAAAUGCAAUUCAUAUAAAAUAAAUAAAUAAAUAACUAAAGCCCUGCACUUAUCCAAACAAUAUGACAUUAGAUUAACUGUAUCAUAUGAAAAAUUUAGACACCUGAAAUUUCGUCACUAUUAAACAUUGAACAAAAUAGAAGGCCUAAAGAUUAGCUAAAACAAGAGCAAAGAUCCGGUCAAAUGCUUUUUUUCUUUUUUUAAUAUUAGAUAUAUGCACUCACCUAGCAUUGAUUCAACUACAUAAAGAUGUAGAAUCAAGAGAAAGAAUAUAGAAGAAACAAAGACCAAUCCUUGUAAAAGAGA